UACGGGGGGGGCAAGCGUUGUUCGGAAUUACUGGGCGUAAAGGGUUCGUAGGUGGCCAACUAAGUCAGACGUGAAAUCCCUCAGCUUAACUGGGGAACUGCGUCUGAUACUGGUCUGGCUUGAGUGCAGGAGAGGAACGCGGAAUUCCAGGUGUAGCGGUGAAAUGCGUAGAUAUCGGGAGGAACACCUGUGGCGAAAGCGGCUCACUGGACCAUUACUGACGCUGAUGCACGAAAGCUAGGGGAGCAAACAGG
rnacentral:rRNA from 1 species